rnacentral:miRNA from 1 species
CCAGAUCUAACUCUUCCAGCUC